rnacentral:rRNA from 1 species
GAUGAACGCUAGCGGCAGGCUUAACACAUGCAAGUCGAGGGGCAGCAUAAUGGAUAGCAAUAUCUAUGGUGGCGACCGGCGCACGGGUGCGUAACGCGUAUGCAACCUACCUUUAACAGGGGGAUAACACUGAGAAAUUGGUACUAAUACCCCAUAAUAUCAUAGAAGGCAUCUUUUAUGGUUGAAAAUUCCGGUGGUUAGAGAUUGGCAUGCGUUGUAUUAGCUAGUUGGUGGGGUAACGGCUCACCAAGGCGACGAUACAUAGGGGGACUGAGAGGUUAACCCCCCACACUGGUACUGAGACACGGACCAGACUCCUACGGGAGGCAGCAGUGAGGAAUAUUGGUCAAUGGACGCAAGUCUGAACCAGCCAUGCCGCGUGCAGGAGGACGGCUCUAGGAGUUGUAAACUGCUUUUGUACGAGGGUAAACGCAGAUACGUGUAUCUGUCUGAAAGUAUCGUACGAAUAAGGAUCGGCUAACUCCGUG